UGCACCGCUUUAGGGUCAAUCUUAUCAUUUCUACUGCGUUGUCCACCCCUCAUUCCCGUGGCCUUCCUCUUUGCUCAUUUCGUGUCCACACAACAUGUUCUCAUCUCUUUCUUCCUACCCCUCCCCUUCGCCAUGAGAGAAGAACCACAUAGCUCGGCACGUGCAUUCCUUUUUUUGGGUCCAUCAGCGGCGGCAUGCUCCUCCCCAUGAGAUUAGCGAUGGCGACAAGUGUUGCAACCAACACCCACCGAUGCCGGAGACAACGGAUACAAGUGCGGGAGACCCCGCGGUGGCAUGCAUUCAAGAUGUUGGAGCAAGUACAACAUCGCUCGGUUGGCCACGGAGGAGAUCUCACCGGAGCUCCUGAGCUACGACCACAAUGGCGAGGGCAUGGAAGCGGCGUGCCAGGGGAGCGUGGGGAUUUCCCUUUUUCUAUUGCGACCUAUGCGGGAAGAAGAUGACUCAAGGGAAAGCCAAAUCUAAUAGUUGUACAUGAAGGAAUCAGACAAUUGAGCGGUGCCUGGCCCAAAUUUGGGCCGGUCGACGGGCGCCUACCACUAGCCAAAGAUGAAUGGACAAAGACUAAUUUUUUUGAACCUAAACACUCAUGAUCUUUUUUCACGCAGGGAGGGGGGAGUGACCCCUGGAGUACACAUAGCUCCACCUCUGAGCUUAUCCA